UACGAAGGAUGCAAGCGUUAUCCGGAUUCACUGGGUUUAAAGGGUGUGCAGGUGGGGUAAUAAGUCAGUGGUGAAAGCCCCCGACUCAAUCGGGGAACUGCCAUAGAUACUGUUAUUCUUGAGUGUAGUUGAGGCAGAUGGAAUAUGACAUGUAGCGGUGAAAUGCUUAGAUAUGUCAUAGAACACCGGUGGCGAAGGCGACCUUCUGGGCCGCAACUGACGCUGAGGCACGAAAGCCUGGGGAGCGAACGGG
rnacentral:rRNA from 1 species